rnacentral:rRNA from 1 species
GAUGAACGCUGGCGGCGUGCUUAACACAUGCAAGUCGAACGAAGCAUUUAAGACAGAUUACUUCGGUUUGAAGUCUUUUAUGACUGAGUGGCGGACGGGUGAGUAACGCGUGGGUAACCUGCCUUAUACAGGGGGAUAACAGUUGGAAACGACUGCUAAUACCGCAUAAGCGCACGGUAUCGCAUGAUACAGUGUGAAAAACUCCGGUGGUAUAAGAUGGACCCGCGUCUGAUUAGCCAGUUGGCGGGGUAACGGCCCACCAAAGCGACGAUCAGUAGCCGACCUGAGAGGGUGACCGGCCACAUUGGGACUGAGACACGGCCCAAAACUCCUACGGGGAGCAGCAGUGGGGAAUAUUGCACAAUGGGGGGAAACCCUGAUGCAGCGACGCCGCGUGAGCGAAGAAGAUUUCGGAUGUAAAGCUCUAUCAGCAGGGAAGAAGAAUGACGGUACCUGACUAAGAAGCACCGGCUAAAAUACGUGCCAGCAGCCG